AUUGAACGCUAGCGGGAUGCCUUACACAUGCAAGUCGAACGGAGUGGCGAACGGGUGAGUAAUGUAUCGGAACGUGCCCAGUAGCGGGGGAUAACUACGCGAAAGCGUAGCUAAUACCGCAUACUAUUGGAGCGGCCGAUACAGGAUUAGCAAGUUGGGGGGGUACCGGAUCACCAAGGCGACGAUCCGUAGCUGGUUUGGGUGGAAGACCAGCCACACUGGGACUGAGACAAGGCCCAGACUCCUACGGGAGGCAGCAGUGGGGAAUUUUGGACAAUGGGGGAAACCCGGAUCCAGCCAUCCCGCGUGUGCGAUGAAGGCCCUCGGUUUGUAAAGCACUUUUGGCAGGAAAGCGGUACCUGCAGAAUAAGCACCGGCUAACUACGUUCCAGCAGCCGCGGUAAUUC
rnacentral:rRNA from 1 species